rnacentral:rRNA from 1 species
CCAAUAGCGUAUAUUAAAGUUGCUGCGGUUAAAAAGCUCGUAGUUGAAUUUCGGAAUUGAUGCAUCGGUCGUGCCUUAAGGGGCAUGAACUGGUGUAGCCAAUUUCUCACCUUCUGGUGAAUUGUUGAUGUUCUUAAUGGGUGUCUCAAUGAACUAGAAUUUUUUACUUUGAAAAAAUUAGAGUGUUUAAAGCAGGCAUUGAUUUGCUUGAAUACAUUAGCAUGGAAUAAUGAAAUAGGACAGUGGUUCCGUUUUGUUGGUUUCUAGGAUCACGUAAUGAUUAAUAGGGACAGUUGGGGGCAUUAGUAUUCAAUUGUCAGAGGUGAAAUUCUUGGAUUUAUUGAAGACUAACUAUUGCGAAAGCAUUUGCCAAGGAUGUUUUCAUUGAUCAAGAACGAAAGUUAGGGGAUCAAAGACGAUUAAGUACGUCGUAGUCCUAACCAUAAACUAUACCAACUAGGAAUCAGACGAUGUUAAUUUUUUAAUGACUCGUUUGGUACCUUACG